UUCAAGACAUUUAUUUAUUUUUGUUAAUUAAAAACGCAUUUUUAAUACAAAUGUAGAAGAAACUUUCAAGCGUAAAAGAACUUUCAAAUGUAAACUUACAUUUUUUUGUGGCAUUUUGAAAUAAUGAAUGAAGAGUGACUAAUAGACAGAUCCUUCGAAUUGGAUAGUCUGUGAUUCAAAAUUAUGAUAAAGUCAAUGAUAAAUCUUUAAGUUUAAUCUACCUCGUCAGUUCAGCAAGAAAAAAAGAUCAUUUAAGAUUUCCCUUUCGAAGGACAACGUUUAAGACUGUUUACCUGAUUCCUACGGCAAAAAAGAACUUUAAAAUGCUGUUGCCUAUAAUCUAAAGCCCACACCUGAUCUAAAAGAAGGUGAAUGACGUCAAGUGUUCAAACAGUCGAUUUUUGAAAAUUAACAAGUGGAGGAAGAAGUUUAAAAAAACUUAUAAUUAAUAAAACAUGGCAAACAUAUAUUAUUAAAAAUUUACGCAAAUUUUUAUUUUUUACUUAUUCUCAAAAAGUUAAGUGAAAACAUAAGUUUUAAUCUUACGUUUGAGUAAAGCCAUGUAAAGACAAAGAUUAUAGACGUCGAACUGAUGACGGCUAAAUUAGGUUAUUUAAAAACAUAAUUUGGCGUGUCCAUUUAGCACUUGUUCUGA